UACAGAGGUCCCGAGCGUUGUUCGGAUUCACUGGGCGUAAAGGGUGCGUAGGUGGUGAGGUAAGUCGGAUGUGAAAUCUCCGGACUCAACCCGGAAAUGGCAUUGGAAACUACCUUGCUGGAGGAUUUGAGGGGGGAUUGGAAUACUUGGUGUAGCAGUGAAAUGCGUAGAUAUCAAGUGGAACACCAGUGGCGAAGGCGAAUCCCUGGAAAAUACCUGACACUGAGGCACGAAAGCUAGGGGAGCAAACAGG
rnacentral:rRNA from 1 species